CGGUCAGUGUGACAUGUGCUUCGUGGAGUUACAGUGAUACGUUUCUUCCAACGGAAACUCGACAUAUUCUGCCAGUUCCCGUGCACAUACUUGCUCCAAAAAGAAUUUUCAAGACUUAUGUUUCCUCAAACUUGUUCAGGAGCGGAAAACUGAAUACGUUUGGAUUUUGCAGGAAAUAAGCGAGAAUACAGAGAAGGGAUGUAUUCUGCAUUUGGGAAAGAGGAUUGGAUACGCACAAGAUGAUCUAAAGAACUCAGCGAAACGUUUGAACACUAACAAAAAAGAGAUUCAAGACAUAUAAAUACACAUUAAAUAUUAAA